rnacentral:rRNA from 1 species
AUUGAACGCUGGCGGCAUGCUUUACACAUGCAAGUCGAACGGCAGCACGGACUUCGGUCUGGUGGCGAGUGGCGAACGGGUGAGUAAUACAUCGGAACGUACCCAGUAAUGGGGGAUAACUAUCCGAAAGGAUAGCUAAUACCGCAUACGCCCUACGGGGGAAAGAGGGGGAUCGCAAGACCUCUUGUUAUUGGAGCGGCCGAUGGCUGAUUAGCUAGUUGGUAGGGUAAAGGCCUACCAAGGCAACGAUCAGUAGCGGGUCUUAGAGGACGAUCCGCCACACUGGAACUGAGACACGGCCCAGACUCCUACGGGAGGCAGCAGUGGGGAAUCUUGGACAAUGGGCGCAAGCCUGAUCCAGCAAUGCCGCGUGUGUGAAGAAGGCCUUCGGGUUGUAAAGCGCUUUUGUCAGGGAGCAAAUCCUUGUGGCUAAUACCCACCGGGGAUGAGAGUACCUGAAGAAUAAGGACCGGCUAACUACGUGCCAGCAGCCGCAGUAACAC